rnacentral:rRNA from 1 species
UACAGAGGUCUCAAGCGUUGUUCGGAUUCAUUGGGCGUAAAGGGUGUGUAGGUGGCGCGCUAAGUCGGGUGUGAAAUUUCGGAGCUUAACUCCGAAACUGCAUUCGAUACUGGCGUGCUUGAGGACUGGAGAGGAGACUGGAAUUCAUGGUGUAGCAGUGAAAUGCGUAGAUAUCAAGAGGAACACCAGUGGCGAAGGCGAGUCCCUGGACAACUUCUGACACUGAGGCACGAAAGCUAGGGGAGCAAACAGG